GACGGACCACACAAACGUUAUUCGGAAUUACUGGGCUUAAAGGGUGCGUAGGCGGUGCAGAAAGUUGGGUGUGAAAUCCCUCGGCUUAACCGAGGAACGGCGCCCAAAACUACUGUGCUGGAGGAAGACAGAGGUGAGCGGAACUUAGGGUGGAGCGGUGAAAUGCGUUGAUAUCCUAAGGAACACCGGUGGCGAAAGCGGCUCACUGGGUCUUUUCUGACGCUGAUGCACGAAAGCUAGGGUAGCGAACGGG
rnacentral:rRNA from 1 species